GACGAACGCUGGCGGCGUGCUUAACACAUGCCAGUCGAACGGAAAGGCCCUGCUUUUGUGGGGUGCUCGAGUGGCGAACGGGUGAGUAACACGUGAGUAACCUGCCCUUGACUUUGGGAUAACUUCAGGAAACUGGGGCUAAUACCGGAUAGGAGCUCCUGCUGCAUGGUGGGGGUUGGAAAGUUUCGGCGGUUGGGGAUGGACUCGCGGCUUAUCAACUUGUUGGUGGGGUAGUGGCUUACCAAGGCUUUGACGGGUAGCCGGCCUGAGAGGGUGACCGGCCACAUUGGGACUGAGAUACGGCCCAGACUCCUACGGGAGGCAGCAGUGGGGAAUAUUGCACAAUGGGCGGAAGCCUGAUGCAGCAACGCCGCGUGCGGGAUGACGGCCUUCGGGCUGUAAACCGCUUUCGCCUGUGACGAAGCGUGAGUGACGGUAAUGGGUAAAGAAGCACCGGCUAACUACGUG
rnacentral:rRNA from 1 species